rnacentral:rRNA from 1 species
UACGGAGGAUCCAAGCGUUAUCCGGAUUUAUUGGGCGUAAAGCGCGUGUAGGCGGCCCGAUAAGUCCGCUGUGAAAGUCCAGGGCUCAACCCUGGGAUGCCGGUGGAUACUGUCGGGCUCGAGUCCGGAAGAGGCGAGUGGAAUUCCAGGUGUAGCGGUGAAAUGCGUAGAUAUCUGGAGGAACACCGGUGGCGAAGGCGGCAUCCUGGACCGGUAUUGACGCUGAGGCGCGAAAGCCAGGGGAGCAAACGGG